UACGUAGGGCGCAAGCGUUUGUCCGGAAUUAUUGGGCGUAAAAGAGCUCGUAGGCGGUGUGUCGCGUCGGAUGUGAAAAGCCCGGGGCUUAACCCCCGGGUCUGCAUUCGAUACGGGCAGACUGGAGUGUGGUAGGGGAGAUCGGAAUUCCUGGUGUAGCGGUGAAAAUGCGCAGAUAUCAGGAGGAACACCGGUGGCGAAGGCGGAUCUCUGGGCCAUUACUGACGCUGAGGAGCGAAAGCGUGGGGAGCGAACAGG
rnacentral:rRNA from 1 species